GACGAACGCUGGCGGCGUGCUUAACACAUGCAAGUCGUACGGUAAGGCCCUUUCGGGGGUACACGAGUGGCGAACGGGUGAGUAACACGUGAGUAACCUGCCCACAACUUUGGGAUAACGCUAGGAAACUGGUGCUAAUACUGGAUAUGUGCUCCUGCUGCAUGGUGGGGGUUGGAAAGCUCCGGCGGUUGUGGAUGGACUCGCGGCCUAUCAGCUUGUUGGUGGGGUAGUGGCCUACCAAGGCGGCGACGGGUAGCCGGCCUGAGAGGGUGACCGGCCACACUGGGACUGAGAUACGGCCCAGACUCCUACGGGAGGCAGCAGUGGGGAAUAUUGCACAAUGGGCGCAAGCCUGAUGCAGCAACGCCGCGUGCGGGAUGACGGCCUUCGGGUUGUAAACCGCUUUCAGCAGGGACGAAGCUUUUUGUGACGGUACCUGCAGAAGAAGCACCGGCUAACUACGUG
rnacentral:rRNA from 1 species